rnacentral:misc_RNA from 1 species
UUUCCGUAGGUGAACCUGCGGAAGGAUCAUUAAGGAGCUGUCAUGGGGUCCGUUGCUGGCAGCAAAUGUGUGGAUGCAUGUUCUUUCCCCAACAAUCAUCCUCCAAACACCUGUGCACAGUUUUGAGGGAGGCUUGAGUUGGGGCCCGCUCUUGGGUGAUUUUCUCACAUUCCCUUAAAUCUAUAUACGCUUUUAACCACGAUGAACGUGCUCGGCGCCGCAAGGCUAUUAAUAUAAUACAACUUUCAACAACGGAUCUCUUGGCUCUC